rnacentral:rRNA from 1 species
GAUGAACGCUGGCGGUAUGCUUAACACAUGCAAGUCGAACGGUCACUUCGGUGAUAGUGGCGGACGGGUGAGUAACGCGUGAGAAUCUGUCUUCAGGUCGGGGACAACAGUUAGAAAUGACUGCUAAUACCGGAUGUGCCUUUGGGUGAAAGAUUUAUUGCCUGAAAAGGAGCUCGCGUCAGAUUAGCUAGUAGGUGGUGUAAGAGACUACCUAGGCUCCGAUCUGUAGCUGGUCUGAGAGGACGAUCAGCCACACUGGAACUGAGACACGGUCCAGACUCCUACGGGAGGCAGCAGUGGGGAAUUUUCCGCAAUGGGCGAAAGCCUGACGGAGCAAUACCGCGUGAGGGACGAAGGCUUUUGGGUCGUAAACCUCUUUUCUCAAGGAAGAUGAUGACGGUACUUGAGGAAUAAGCAUCGGCUAACUCUGUG